rnacentral:rRNA from 1 species
UACGUAUGGACCGAGCGUUGUCCGGAAUCAUUGGGCGUAAAGAGCGUGUAGGCGGCCAUUUAAGUCCUGCGUGAAAUCCUGCGGCUCAACCGCAGGCGGUCGUGGGAAACUGGAUGGCUAGAGUGCGGGAGAGGAGAGUGGAAUUCCUGGUGUAGCGGUGGAAUGCGCAGAUAUCAGGAGGAACACCUGUGGCGAAAGCGGCGCACUGGACCACAACUGACGCUGAGGCGCGAAAGCUAGGGGAGCAAACAGG